rnacentral:lncRNA from 1 species
GGGUUAGGGACGGGCUUGGGUCUUUAAUUAGGGUUAAUAAUAGAGGGCAUGUGAUAGGUUGAUGAUUUUGAUCUAGCCACCUUUGCAAAAGGUUUCGGCUUGGCUUAUAGUCAGGGCUGGGUUCCUAAUCUGUGUUGGUUAGAUUAGGGUUAGGGUUUGGUUUGUGACGGUGGAUGAGGGAGAAGAUGAUCGGUGGUGAGGGUUUGAGUUAGAGCGAUGGAGAUGGUUGUUGGUGGGCUAACAGUCGGUGUUAGGUAAGGAUCUGGGGAUCGGUCCAUGGCUCGGUGACGGCAAUGUGCUAGGGGCCUUUGAAGGGUUGGGAGUCAGGCGAGCGGCU